CCCACAACACCCCUCCCCGAUAAACCCGCGCGUCCCGCACCACCGUCCACCGCUGCCUCACUCGCUCGCCCCGUCCCCGUCCUCGUCGCGAGCACGCACGCCAAACGGCACGCGCUCCUCUUCCCCCACGCACGCCUUCCGCUUCUCGCCCCGAUCAGUGCUCGCCAGCAGCCUGCCAGCCUCGCCUCGGAACAUUGAAGCACACAGUAGUGUCUCACUCACCCGGGCAAUCCGCGGGAGGUGCGGCGCGCACAGCUAGGACCAGGAGGCGAACGGGCGGCGCGACGUGAGUCGAGUUCGGGCCGUGCAGGCGGGGUAGCAGGCAGCCAUGGAGACACCGCGGCUUGCAGUCGGGGCAGCGUCGCGGCCCCCGCCACCAACUCCUCGAUUCCGGCGGCGGCGCUUCCCGCGUCCGCGCGGCGGGGUGCAUUGCUUCCCCUUCGCCCGCGCCGCUCGACCGGUGCUUCUAACCCGGUGCUCCUCCUCCUCCUCCUCCAGGGAGGGGAACGGCGAUUCUCGCGGUAAGCCCCGGCGCGAGAGCUCCAGUACCGUCCGGUUGGACGUCGACGCAGAUAGUGAUCAGGGUAAUUGCUGUUUCCAGGUACCAAGUUUGGCUGAUGAGGGUGAUGUUGGGGAGCUCUUCAGACUGGCUCAACGGAGUAAUUACUCUUCCCUUGCUUUACCUAAUUUGUCUGUUACAGAUAUCCUGUACAUUAACAAGCAGCGGCUUAUGGCUAUGGAGGAGCUGAAGAAACUACAGGAUGAAAAUAAUUUGCUUCUUGAGGAAAUACAAGUACUAGAAACAGAAAUGCAAGGUAUUCCCCUAGAAGCAGCACAAUCGUUAAGUUUCAGCGAGUUACUCCUGCGGAUAGAUACAAUGGUCAUUUCUGGAAUGAUCAGCAUGGCGGAAGCAUCUGAUUUAAGAGAGAAAGUUGUCACUAAUAGAAGCAUAAUACAAAGCGCCUUUUCUGACAUUCAUCAUAAGCCAAAUACUGAAUUGCUGUCUGAACUGCGACUCUUUCUACGUAAACCAAUAGAGAAACCUCUUCAUAUUGUGCACAUCUGCAGUGAAAUGUACCCAAUAGCAUCAUCUGGAUCAUUAUCAACCUAUGUUGCUAGUUUAUCUUGUGAGAUUCAAAAAAAGGGUAACUUGGUGGAGGUGAUACUACCCAAGUACACCAGCAUAAACGUGGAUGGAAUUCAUGGUCUAAGGAGAGCUGAGGCAGAGUAUGAAUCUUAUUUUGGUGGUGUUUGGCAUAAAAACAAAAUAUGGACUGGUACAUCAAGUGGUGUUGGUCUUGUACUUAUAGAACCAUCUCAGCUCUACUAUUUCAGUCGUGAUAUGUUACAUGGCUACCCUGAUGACUUUGAGCGAUUUUCCUAUUUUUCCCGUGCAUCCCUGGAUUAUAUUGUAAAAUCUGGAAAGCGGCCAGACAUUAUACACAUACAUAACUGGGAAACUGCUAUAGUGGCACCACUUUUCUGGGAUAUAUUUGCUCACCAGGGACUUGGGAACACUCGGAUAUUACUGACGUGCCAAGACUUGAAUUCAGAAUGCCUAGAGGAGCCAAAUAUAUUGGAGAUGUGUGGGCUCGAUCCAAAUAAGCUUCACCGCCCUGAUCGUCUGCAGGAUACAAAUAAGACACAUCUUGUUAAUAUUCUUAAGGGGGGCAUUGUUUAUUCAAAUAAAGUCAUUUUGAUGUCCUCAACAGAUUCAAAAGAUUCUCUUAUUCAUGGUUCAAGACAUGGGCUGCAAUCAACAUUAACCACACAUAAGGAGAAGAUAUCGGUUGCUUCUUACGGACUGGAUGGUGAACUUUGGGAUCCAUCGAAAGACAUUUUCCUUCCUCGAAGGUAUUCUGCCAAUGAUAUUGAGGGGAAGUCCAUUUGCAGACAAGCACUUAGGCGACGACUUCGAUUCAACGGUGAUUCAUCCAUUAUAGAUGUAUCUGUGAUGAUAAUUCAGAUAUCCAUAGUCUUAAAGAAGCAGUUCAUGUUGCUCUGCGCAGGAAUUCUCAGUUGCAAGAGUUUAUACUGUACAGGUCAUCAUCAUGGAAAAGUUAGGGUCUGUCGUGAACUCAACUUUGCAAGCAUUAAAGGGAGAGAUAUUGGGAGACAAAAUAGCAUUCGUUGAGGCAUACGAUGAAUCCCUAGCACAUUUAAUAUAUGCAGGAUCUGAUAUCAUUCUUUGCUCUUCCUUUGAAGAUCCAUCACUGCAAACAGCGAUGAAGGCAAUAAAGUAUGGUUCUGUGCCGGUACAAUUAAACUUUCCCAGCGAUGAAUCAAGGGAGUUGGAGGGGCAUGGUUGCCCCAAUACAGCAAUGUCUCAGUACAUCAUCUCAACCUAUGGAGAUCUGUCUCUUUCUCAAACACUUGAUGACUUUAACAAUGACCCUUCACAUUGGGAUCGGCAGAUUAAGGAUGGGAUGGCUAGGGGUUCGUCAUGGGACAUGAAGUGCUAUAACCUUCAUUGGGAUGCUUAUUCCUCUAUAAGGAAGCUGUGAACUGGGCAUGCUAGAGAAGCACACCCCAAAUUAAGGGUACCAUUUUUUUUUUGCAUAUAAUUAGAUUAACAUUUAAUUUCUUAGAUGAACAUUUAAUCAAGCUAAAGGUCAGUAAAUAAACAAAUGGUAUGUACAGCUGCUCUGGAUUUCACAAUAUUCUCCAAUUUACUGUGGUAGUUAGUGUGCAUUUUCUUGAGGAACAAA